GGGGGUGUGGCGGAGUGGUCAAUCGCACUUGACUGUAAAUCAAGCGGCCUUGUGCCUACGUAGGUUCGAAUCCUACCGCCCCCACAA
rnacentral:tRNA from 1 species